rnacentral:tRNA from 1 species
GGUUAUAUAGUGUAACAGCACAUUAGAUUGCAAAUCUAAAAGUGACAAAAUAUGUCUAUAACUU